CCUACGGGAGGCAGCAGUGGGGAAUAUUGGGCAAUGGAGGCAACUCUGACCCAGCAACGCCGCGUGAAUGAUGAAGGUCGUCGGAUUGUAAAGUUCUGUGAUGGGGGAUGAACACAAUGACGGUACCCCAAUAGCAAGCCACGGCUAACUACGUGCCAGCAGCCGCGGUAAUACGUAGGUGGCAAGCGUUAUCCGGAAUGACUGGGCGUAAAGGGGGCGUAGGUGGUUUAGUAAGUUGGCGGUGUAAUUCCGGGGCUCAACCUCGGCGCUACCGCCAAAACUAUUAGAUUAGAGUGCAGGAGGGGUAAGUGGAAUUCCUAGUGUAGCGGUGGAAUGCGUAGAUAUUAGGAGGAACAUCAGGGGCGAAGGCGACUUACUGGACUGUAACUGACACUGAGGCACGAAAGCGUGGGGAGCAAACAGGAUUAGAUACCCCUGUAGUC
rnacentral:rRNA from 1 species